rnacentral:rRNA from 1 species
UACAGAGGUCCCAAGCGUUGUUCGGAUUCACUGGGCGUAAAGGGUGCGUAGGCGGUCGGGUAAGUCUGAUGUGAAAUCUCACAGCUUAACUGUGAAACUGCAUUGGAUACUAUCCGGCUCGAGGAAUGGAGGGGAGACUGGAAUACUUGGUGUAGCAGUGAAAUGCGUAGAUAUCAAGUGGAACACCAGUGGCGAAGGCGAGUCUCUGGACAUUACCUGACGCUGAGGCACGAAAGCCAGGGGAGCAAACGGG